AAAAGAAAAAGGCAUGUGUAUAGCGGUGUUCAUAUGGAAAGCGCAUCCGUUGUAUCCCUUCCUUCUCUUCCUCAACAGAGAUGAAUACCACAAUCGUCCAACGAAACCAUUGUCAUGGUGGGAAGAUACUGAUAUACUUGGUGGAAGGGAUGAAGUUGCUGGUGGGACUUGGUUGGCUUGUACUCGCACUGGAAGACUUGCUUUUCUUACUAAUGUUCGAGAAAUCAAUUCAAAUUCACAUACCAAAAGUAGGGGAGACCUUCCUCUUCGAUUCUUAAAGAGUGUGAAGAGCCCUCGUGAUUUUUCAGAGCAACUAUUGAUAGAAGCAGGUGAAUAUAAUGGGUUUAAUUUGAUAGUAGCUGAUCUUUGUUCAAUGACUAUGCUUUAUAUAACUAACCGACCGAAACACACCGGUAUGUCCGUCACUGAGGUUUCACCCGGUAUUCAUGUUUUAUCAAAUGCAUCACUAGACUCUCCAUGGCCUAAGUCUCAACGGCUGGAGUGCAGUUUCAAGCAAUUAUUGGAUGAAUAUGGCGAAUCGGAAAUUCCAAUAGGGCAGGCAGCUGAAAGAAUAAUGAGAGACGUGGCUAAAGAAGAUAGUAACCUGCCAGGCAUCUAUUCCCCCGAGUGUGAGUACCAGUUGAGCUCCAUAUUUGUUGACACUGAAAUGUCCAUGGGGCGUUUUUGCACAAGAAGCACUUCUUCACUGGCAGUGAGAAGUUCUGGUGACGCAACCUUUUAUGAAGUGUAUCUUGAGAAGGAUAUAUGGAAGGAGCAGCAGAUAACCUUUGUAAUUGAGAAAAUGAUAGAUGGUGUUGUUUCUACGUCCUAAAGCGUUCUUAGAACAUGAACUACCAAGAUGCAGACAAGUCAAUGUUUGUGAUCUUUUCCAUGGACAAAGCACAGAAUUAUCUUGCUGUCUUAAUCUCUGCAUAAUCAAAUACUAUUUUAGUUAUCCUGUUGUUGAAUUUCAUUUUAUUGCUCCAGGACCUCCUUGCAGUGGUUCUGCUUAUUAAGAGGUACCAUAUAUAUUAGUGUGUAUCUAAAUGUUAGUUGCUGGCAUUAGAAUAAGCUGUGUU
rnacentral:misc_RNA from 1 species